CACCAAUAUCAUGAUUGUCGUGAUUGCAGUAUAAAAGACAAAUAUGAAAUUCAUUGAAUUGAAUAUCCCAUAUAAACAAAACAGGAUAAUUAAAAUUGAUCAUGAAUUCAGCAACCCCAUCUCCAAUUUAUUACAAAAAUCAACAAUAAAAUUACCUAAUGACCCUCUUCAAAUCAAACAAGAAAAGAAGCAAUACGUUUGACCAUAUCAAUAGAACUCUGAGUUUCAGGAUGAUAAAUCUGAAAACAAUGUUCUUCACCUUCAACAUGAACAAGUUCCACAUCACCUUUCCAACCACUUUUCUUAACAGCAUCAUAGUACCAAAUCCCUCUGUCUCUUAAAUCAUCAUUCCCAGCAACAAAAAUCAAUAUCUUAGGACAACCAAUAAUAUCCAAACUUGGAGCAUCAAUAGCCAAAGGAUUGAUCAAAGGGUUAUCAAUCCCACCAGGUGCAUCAGGAUACACAAAAUUCCAUACUUUCAUAGGUGAACUUUGUUCAUGCCCUUCAACUGAUUCUGACAAAACCGGCUUCGAACUCCAAAACAAAGGAAAAGCAAGUAAUGCUCCUCUAAUUUUCACAUCACCAGGUAAAGUUUCAACACCAUUACCAACACGAAGAAGUGCAUUAUGUGCAAUAUUUGCACCUGAAGUAUCACCACCAAUGUAAAAACGGUCAAAAUCACCGUAUUUGAUUAACCAUGGUUCAGCGUUAUUGAUGUUGUUGAUGGAAUGAGAAGUGAUCCAUUUGAGAGAAAACCAACCAUCAUCAUAUGCAGCAGGAAGAGGGUGUUCUGGUGCAAGUCUAUAUUCAACAGAAACAACAAGAACAUUUGCUUGUGAAGCAAUGAUGUUAAGGUAACGUUGGUGAAGAAAAGAGAAAGCUGAUUCAAGACAAAAAGCACCACCAUGAUAGUAAACUAAGAUUGGAAGCUUUUGAGUUUGGUUGGUGAGUUUUGGAAGAUGAAUACGUGCAGAGAUUAAUGGGUUUUGUGAAAAGGUUAUGUCUUUUGAUGAGACACCUGUUUCAGGAUCAAGAGGGAUUGGUGGUACGAUUUUAGAGCCUAAGAAACGUUCAACUGUUCCAUCUUUGUAGACACGGAGAAGAGGUGGAAGUUCUCUGUCUAUCUCUUUGGUUGAAGAAGCCAUUGAUGAAGGGAAGUGAAGAGAGUAGAACAGAGAAGGUUAAUAGGUUACAGUGAGUAAGCUUAAUAUAAGUAAGACACAAGAUGGUUCUUUUCAAAAGUCAAAGUUUGACAAUAUGGUCAAAUGUGUCACCUUAAUAACAAUAUUGUUAUGGAACAGACUUGGUUGCUUCCUCGUGCAGGCCUACCUACCUACCCCAUAAUAAUUUUAACUGAAAAUUCAUAAAAUACUUUCUAGUAUAUUACAUCAACCUAUACAUAUAUGUCUAAUGUUAUUUUAACCCAUCAUUAUUAGCCUCUUUAACCUCUUGCAGACGUCGCAAGAUAUACUAAGGUUUUGAUCUUUUGAGUGAGACUAAGUGGGUAGCAGAAAUCAAACUUUGAAUUUUUUUGUUUUCCUAGCCAAAAAUUACAUUACCUACUCGUCCAAAACACGGAAUUGAUAAAAGUAUGGUCUUAAUUUAAAACAUUAUCAUAAUUUGAAUUUAGUUUUG
rnacentral:lncRNA from 1 species